rnacentral:rRNA from 1 species
AUUGAACGCUGGCGGCAGGCCUACCACAUGCAAGUAGAACGAGUGGCGGACGGGUGAGUAAUGUCAGGGAAAAUGCCCGAUGGAGGGGGAUAACUACUGGAAACAGUAGCUAAUACCGCAUACCAUCGGAUGUGCCCAGAUGGGAUUAGCUAGUAGGUGGGGUAACGGCUCACCUAGGCGACGAUCCCUAGCUGGUCUGAGAGGAUGACCAGCCACACUGGAACUGGGCCACGGUCCAGACUCCUAGGGGAGGCAGCGGUGGGGAAUAUUGCACAUUGGUCGCAAGCGUGAUGCGUCCAUGCCGCGUGUAUGAAGAAGGCCUUCGGGUUGUAAAGUAAUUUCAGCGAGGAGGCGUUACUCGCAGAAGAAACACCGGCUAACUCCGUGCCAGCAGCCGCGGUAAUAC